AAAUGAAGGAGUAAUAUUAAAAUGCUAUUUGUAAGUUCUGUCAAAGUUUUGAAACAAAAUUAUACAUUAUGAAUAUACACUCAUACUGUAGAUGUCACGAGAACAUAACAGAACUUUAACACUUCAAAAACAUAUUCCUUCCCUCUUAGGCUUUCCCAGGGAUGGUCCCAUUUUCAAAACGUCCAGCUGUGGACAAAAGUGGAGUUCCAGUGUUUCAUCCGAGUGCUGCUGUGGCCUAUCAACAGGCUAUGGCCAUGCAGGUUCAGCAGCCAUUUGUGCCUGUAACAUUUUCUGGACAUCCCACUGGUAUGCCAAGGUUUUAAAAAAGAAUUUGCAAAGAUUAUAAAGGGAAUAUUUGAAGACAAUAUCAGAUACUAGGUGAGGUAAAUCGUGUGCCUAUCAACAGAGAGAGAAUAGAAAGAGAGCUCUUCCAUAAAGACAAGACAUUUGGCCAUAUUGUCCUUUCAGACCCCCUCCCCCCCUGUUGUCGUAAGAUAAAUGUGUAAACAUUGGACAGACUUAGUAGCUUGUGAUAAUUUGUGUCCAUAAGGCACCAAAGGCAUCACUGAAUGUUUCAAAAAAGUGGAAAGUCACAAGCAAUGUAGGGACUUUAAUGUAAGAUGAAUGCACAUUAGGUAACAUUACAUGUAUGUUAAGAUUGGGUUAUCUGAAGUGCCAGUUUUAUCUGCAUGGCAUCAAUAAAUCACAAUAACAUUUCAAACUAACUUGAGCGAUCUAGUCAAUGGAAGAGUACCAACACAGAAAUAAGAAUGUGUUUUAGAUGCAUAUCUGGAAACUUUUGUAUAUUAUUUUUUGUGUAGUUUUUUGGAUGGUUAAAGCAAUGAAAUCAUGUGUAUAAAAUACUACCAUACUAGUUACUCAUUAUUUAUAUUUAAAUCUAUUCCAUUGUAAUCAGUAAGAAUAAAUAUAUUUUAUUUCAUAAAACAGAAACUGAUCAGUAAUUUUAGGCUAUGCAAAUUGUUGAAAAAAGUAUUCUAAGCAAAUGUCUUUUGUGUUUGGUUAAAUCCAUUGUUAAUGUUUCUUUGAAAACUCUAUAACAAAAAGUUGUACAUGAGUUCCAGGUUCUGCAAGUCUGUUGAAUUAUUGGUCUUAUUGAUGAUGUGUGUGUAUUUAGGGAUGUCUAAAGGUCAAGUCAAAUGUGUUAUGAAAACUUAUGGAGCUUUUUUUUUGAAAGGUCAAACCUUAGAGAGAGAUAGAGAGAAUGGAUUUUGAAAAAAAAAUCGAGAGGAUAUUUUUAAUAAUGUUGUUUUUUUUAUGUCACAUAACGUUACUGUUACAAUCAUAUCAGUGGUUGUAGUGUUUCUUGUCUACUAUUGUUAAUGGUGUUGGUUUUGUAAAAGUAUAAACUCUUCAUGCAAAGACAGUUGGAGUAUAAACCAAUUCCUCAUAGUUAGAACAGGCUAUUAUGCAAUAGUAUAAGUACCCAAGUAUAAUGAUUAAAACCUAUUCAAUAGUGUAUAGAUUGGUGUAUACAUGUAUAUUUGUCAGAUCUAUCAUGAGGCAGAGUUAAUGUGAUAAGUCAUUUUAGCAUGAAGACACUAGUGGCUUUUUUCGUACUAACUCUUUUUAUCAUACUGCUAAACUUCUGGAGAUUUAAGGUCAACAUGUUUACAUUAAUUUUUGAACUAUAUUGUUUAUAAAGUUAAAAGUGAUUUUCAAUGAGCACUAGAUGUGCUUACCUUACACAAGUUAUGAUUCUGUAUAUGUAAGCAAUAUACAAUCUUAACCACUGGAGAAAAUUUAUUUUGUGUGAACCAUUCACACUCUAGAUUGACAAUACUGUUCUAAAAUUGUUUGUGUUGACUCAUUUCUAUGUCUUAUAUAUAUAUAAUAGAAUCAAACUUUGCCCUUGCUAUCUUCAAACUUUUGUUUUCUUUUACUGUAAAACAUCUUUUCUGGGCUCAUCAUGUUACAAAACUUUAUCCUGAAAAAUGGACGAAGUAAAAGUGCAUUAUGUACUGUUUUCAUAGGCCUUAAAUGUACAGUGUACCAUGUUCUUGGAAUUGUUGGUAUAUCUUCAUCAGUGCCAUGUAAACUUUCUAAAAAUAUUUCUUUUAAUAUGAUAAUAUACAUUAUUUGUUCUAUCAUUAGCUCUAAAGAAAUUUUAAUUAAAAGUUUUUAUUUUGAAUUAACAAAUUCACUACAUUAAUUGGUAACACUCUAUAGUUGAACAAGUGUAUAAAACAAGAAAAUCUACUUCUUUGUUCAGUAAAAUAUGUAUAUUAUGCAAUAGAAAAAUAACCUGUAAUGCCUGAAGUGAAAACAUGCUUUGAAAAUACUUGUUUUUUUGUUGUUGUUUUUGUUACCUGCCCAACCAUGUAAAGAGAGAGCAAUUAUCAGUGUUCCAAACAGUUAUGAGUGAAUACUUCAAAGCCAACAUUCCAGCAUGAUCAUGAUGAUCUCUGGCUGAUGUUGACUAUAAAAAAAUUCUUCCAAUUUUUCACCAAGUACAGCAUAAUCUUCAUUUAUCAUUAUGCUCUUUGAUCAAAUUUUUUUCUUUGGAUUGAUAUAAAUGGAUUUUAGGGCUGUGCUAGUUUAAUUUCUGUGCUAAGUUUAUAUCAGUUGCUACUUACAAGUUGAAACAUUUUGGCGAUAUUCUGAAAACACAAAGGUUUGUUAUUACUUCAUUUUGUUUUUUAACAACUUCGUAUUCAUAAUGUUUAAUAUGAUGAUUACUUGUGAGCUGACCUGAUUGUUUGAUCUGUUAUAUUUUCAGCUGAGUAGUCUCACUGAUAGGUUGGUUUGUAAAUUAAAUAAUUUAGGUACCUGAUUGUUUAUUCUGUAAAUUGUUAAUUAAAAUCAAUCAUAUGAUUGGUGUGAAUGCUAGCAAAUUAAUUGAUUGUUUAAUAAAAAUAUAACUCCUUUUUAGAAAACCUAUUAUAUGCUCAUUACUUUAGCUUCUAGCCUUCUUAAGGAGCAGUAAACAUAUUCAGAUAUACAAAUGUAACUGCUCCUAGAAAAGUUAAAAAGUUGAAACUCUGAGCAUAAUAAAAUAAGCUUUUCUGGAUUUAUGGCUCUUACGUUUUAUUAAAUAUGAGUUCACCACUUCAGUGGCUAAAACUUUUAACUUAAAGAAAUAAUGGAGGUGACUAUUUAAAUGUUCAUCUUAUGGUUUUUAUGCUUUUUAAUAAAACUUUACUUCACAAACACUUCUUGCUGGAUAUGUUAAUUGGUAUAUCCUCUGUGUUGUUUAUGAAUUUUGUUAUCUGGUUAGUUCAUCUCAUUAUUCUAAGUUUGAAAUAAACAGUCAGCAGAUUACAUCUUCCAUCAGUCAACCAGCUAUGUGAUAUAACCAUAAAAUUCCGAUCCAUGAGGAUUCAACUUUCUUCUUUCCAAGGAGGUUUCUCUUCAAAACUCUUGGUGUAUAACAUUGGUUAUACAAGUUAUACAUGUCUACAAGAAAGUACAGCAAAAGGCCAUCAACAAAUUAGUUCAGCCCUAACUUCCAUUUUUAAUCAAGUAGCUUGCACUGUAUUAGAAAAAAUGCACAACUUUUAAUCUUGGAUAUUUUUCCCAAGAGAAAGAAAGCAUUGUAUUUAUGUUCCUUUACUUUUCUUUUUAUGAUCUCUUUCUCAUAAGAAAUUUUCAAUUCAUUGCUCAUUCAUGCACAUAUUAUGUCUGAUUCUCUGAAGGUUCAAAAAUUAAUGCUUUGCAUAAUUUCAUUCUUCAGUACUUUUUAUGAAUGUUUUUUGAGAGAAAGAUUGUUUUAUAUUGAUACUUUAGAUAAGCUAACUUGAGAUUUGUUAACUGAUGAUCAUGUUUCAACAGAUUAUAUGAAGGAAGAAAGGUUUAUAGUUUCAGUCAGUACAAUGUGUGAUAUGCAUUCAAAGUGUUUUAAUAACUAAUAUUUUAUUACUUCCAAUACAAUGAUUAAUUACUGUGGUAUCUGUGAGCAGCAAUGUCUAGUUAAAUUAUUAGCUAUACAUUAUGACUGACUACCAAAAGGUGGGUAGCAGUACUAGGUGACCUCUGGAAACAAAUAUUAUAUUGACUGCAUAAUGUAUGUGUGUGUGUGUGUGUGUAUAUAUAUAAUUUUCUCAGUAUAAUGUUUGAUAAUCAUCAUUUGUGGUCUAUUGGAAAUUGUAUCAUAAACUUUUGUUUAUAUAAACCUUUUUGUUUCAUCUAUAUCAGAGCAAAUGUGUAACAAGUGGUACAAAUAUCACUGAUUGUGAACUAAUUUUUAAAACAAAUCUGUUUUGUUGUUUUCUUUAUAACUAAUCAUAUUAAAAUGUGAUUCUGAUAUGUUAAAUUAUGAAAUAAAAGAAAUGUAUUAAGAGAGUAUGUAUGGUUUGACUAAAAGGUUAAGCCAGUCCUUCCACUACUAGACCUUGCUGCAUUCACAUUUUUAGCACUUAUUAUAACUGAAUUGUUACAUGAACUGUUGGUAAGUAAAGGAAACAAGUGAUUAGAUACUUGGAAGAUGUCCAAGGUUUUCCAAAUGUCUGUGCCUCAGGAGUUUCUCUUUAAAUGGGAGUCUAAACAGUCCUUUGGCAUUGACAUAAAAGCUUCUACUCCCUUCUGGAUUUUAGAAGUGGAAAGUUGCUCUUAAAGAAUAGUAACAAUAAGGUUGGAUUGUACUGUUGAAGUAUCCUGUUAAACAUGAGAACAGUUUAAUUCCUUUUUCUUGGCAACAUCUACUUCUCUUCCUGGUCACAAUAUGUUAUAAUAAAAAUAGUUAGUCAGUCCUGGUCAUUAAAGUUAAUGUCUUGUAGAAACAGUGACCCAAAAAUCAGUCUGUAUUACUGUAAUGUCAGUAUAUUGGAAAUAAAAGUACAUUUAUAUCAGAUCAUAA